UUGGCAGAUGUGAAAAGUCAUUGUAGCGUUAUCUUCGUAAUGGCGAAUUUGAGUCUAAAAGAAUCAUCGUGGAGUAUUUGGAAUAAAAUUUUGUUUCAACGCGACGUGGAUCACAGAAUUAUGUUUGGGAUAGUCAAAAAACUUGAAUUCACAGAAAACAUCAACUCUAUUCCUAGCUGAAGUCAACGGAACAAACCAUCCAGAAGAAUUCAGAGCUAAUAGAAUCGGUUAACCAAUAUAAUCCAAUGCAUUCGCUUCCAUCGCUUAUUCACACAAAUGAUAAUCAUG